UAGGGAAUAUUGGACAAUGGGGGCAACCCUGAUCCAGCCAUGCCGCGUGAGUGAAGAAGGCCCUCGGGUUGUAAAGCUCUUUUGUCCGGAAAGAAAAGCUUCGGGUUAAUACCCCGGGGUUCUGACGGUACCGGAAGAAUAAGCACCGGCUAACUUCGUGCCAGCAGCCGCGGUAAUACGAAGGGUGCAAGCGUUACUCGGAAUUACUGGGCGUAAAGCGUGCGUAGGUGGUUGGUUAAGUCUGAUGUGAAAGCCCUGGGCUCAACCUGGGAAUGGCAUUGGAAACUGGGCAGCUAGAGUGCGGUAGAGGGUAGUGGAAUUCCCGGUGUAGCAGUGAAAUGCGUAGAGAUCGGGAGGAACAUCUGUGGCGAAGGCGACUGCCUGGACCAGCACUGACACUGAGGCACGAAAGCGUGGGGAGCAAACA
rnacentral:rRNA from 1 species